GAGAGGAUAAACUCGGGAAAUUAAGGUAUUUUUGAAAAAAAAACCUACCUAUCUACCUACAACAAUCUUCUUUAUAUCUCGCCUAGGAAUCGCCGCUAAAUCGACCGUUUAGUUAAAUAAAUUACCGUUUACGAGUAUGCGUCGUCUAAUAUUUCAAAUGCCUUAGCCCCUCUAUAUAUCGUCACCGUCAUUCGUUUUAACCUAACCAACCGACUCGCGAAAAGAAGAAAUUGCACCGAACUCGAGCGGCGUGCAUUUUAUUCCAUGGUCCAAAGUGACGGCCGUCAUCAGUACACGUUCUUGUGUUUUCUCUUAAUAAAAUAUUUCUCGCCAAAAAUAUAACCACACGUGUGAUAGAGUAAGUUUAUAUAGGUACUGUUUAUAACGACUUAAUAUAUUUUUCUUAUGUUCGGAAAAUACACGACGACGCGUAUUCGUGAGGGGAUAGUGCUUUCCACAUUUGUGUAGUUUAUUUUGUAUAUUUGCUUUUAC